rnacentral:rRNA from 1 species
AUGUGAUCGUCUCUCGCAUAUCAAUAAGCGGAGGAAAAGAAACUAACAAGGAUUUCCCUAGUAACGGCGAGUGAAGCGGGAAGAGCUCAAAUUUGAAAUCUUAAAGGGUUUCCCUUUACGAAUUGUAGUUUAAAGAAGUGUUUUCUGUUGAGGUUUUGGUAAAAGUUCUUUGGAAUAGGACAUCAUAGAGGGUGAGAAUCCCGUAUUUGACCUUUACUUUCAACUUUGUGAUACACUUUCAAAGAGUCGGAUUGUUUGGGAAUGCAGUCCAAAAUGGGUGGUAAAUUUCAUCUAAAGCUAAAUAUUGGCGAGAGACCGAUAGCGAACAAGUACCGUGAGGGAAAGAUGAAAAGAACUUUGAAAAGAGAGUUAAACAGUACGUGAAAUUGUCAAAAGGGAAGCGUUUGACACCAGUGUUGUUUUUCUGAAAAUCAAUUAAAGAACUGUUUAUGCUAAGUUGUUUAGACUUUAUCAGCUAUCUGUUUAGUUUUGAGCUUCUCUUUAAUGCACUUUUCAGUUAACAAGUCAACAUCAAUUUCUUUUGCUGUAAAAAAGCUUGAGGAAGGUGGCUUGAGAUUCGUCUUAAGUGUUUAUAGCCUCUUGCCUAUGCAGUCGGAGAGAUUGAGGUCUGCAGCGUAGAUCCUUCGGGGCUAAAUGCAUUUGUGCUAAGUUAUAGCAUUUUAUAGACAACUUGUUGACUAUGAUUUGUCUUGUAGCUUACUCGCUUAUGUUAUUUUACCUACGCUUAGGAUGUUGACACACGCGCGUGCUCG